GCUCAAGAAAGUAAAUCCAUGUCUUUGUUUUACAUAAAUUAUCAUACAGCAAGGAAUGACAUUUUUGCUAAAGUAAUUAACAAAUACAAAGAUGAAUCAAUUCCUUAAUUUUUAAUUCUCGAAAUAUCGAAUAGUUCAUAUUUAUCCAAUUUUCGAUUAUAUUUAUUCGCCAGUUUCCAACAAUAGGCAUUGGCAACAUGGCGACGCCAAACAGAAAAUAAAGGAUAGUAUUUGUGACAAGUAGUGAAUUUGUCGACAUUUUGAUGAAUAUAAACAAAAAGUGUUAUUAAUUCGUUUGAAUAACAUUUUCAAAACCGAUUGGAUAAAAUGGAUGAGGACCAUCACACUACCUAUAUAGACGGAGAUAUCGUCUGGGUGAAGUUGGGUCCUGCUUGGUGGCCAGGUCAAGUUAAAGAUCUGAGUAAGAUCCCUUCAGACAAGAUUGAAUUCAAGAAACCACCUUUAGUAUUGGUUAAAUUUUUUGAAGAAGAUUCUUACGAAUAUGUGAGGAAGUGGGGAAAUAUAUACCCAUACAACUGUGAAAAGAAAAUCGAGUUUAUCAAAAAGGGAAUGGCUGCGUUUCGGUCAAAAGCAACACACAUGGAAACAUUUCCUAAAGACGUGACUACUGCUGAAGUUAUGGUUGGAGGUAAUCCUAAUAUUCUCAGCGAGCCUCAAUUUCGCCCCGAAGUAAAGAGAAAUUAUGUAAACGAAAUUUUUGGUACACCAAACAGUAAGAAAAGGACCAACACAGACAAUAGCAUCAAACGUUCAACAACCAAAACUCAGCUAGAUACCUCCCACAUAACUCAUAGAAGAUUUCUUGGAUCAGAUGAUUACAAAGCCUACAUUUGCAUUCAAUACCCUGGUAAAGAUAGAAUACCGGACAGUGAUGAUGAAAAAGUAGUUGAACUCAAAACUGAACCAGAACGCGAGUACGACUGCCACACUUGUUCUUAUAGUACAAAACGUCUCGAGGUAAUGAUAUUACACAUAAAGUCGCAUAUACAAUUUGAAGAUAGUCCACCGAUCAAGAAAAGAAAGAAACCCGUCACACCAAAACCAAAGAAGAAAGAACCUGCUAAGAGUGCUAAGCGACAGAGGAUGUCAGCUUCUCAGUUAAAUGAUACUUCUAACGAUGAGGCACCCGAACCGCCAAAAGAAAGAAAGAAAAAGACAAAGACUUCACCAUCCGUUAAAAAAUCUCCAAAAGUAGUUGAAGAGGUUAAGCCUAAAAAUUCUAGUGAUAUUCGUAAUGAUCUAUUGGCAGAAUGGGACGACGAAGAGGAUGAGUUAACCGAAACAGAAAAUAUGAGUAUAACAAAUGAUUUGAGCAUAUUAAGCGCAAAUACAACUACAGCAAAUGAUUUGAGCAUAUUAAGCGAAAAUACAACUACAGCAAAUGAUUUGAGCAUAUUAAGCGAAAAUACAACUACAGCAAUUGAUCAAAUACUAGAACCUAUCAACGAACCUGAACCAGAACCUAUCGACAAACCUGAACCAGAACCAGAAGGAAAGACGACAGAAAACGAGAUGAAAAAGAACCUAGAAGACGAUAAAGAAUCUGCAGUCGGAGAAGAGUUAUCUCCAACAAAUAAAACAGACGAUUCACCAAAAAUUGGCCCUGCAUCUAGCGGUGAUACAAAUACACAAAAUGAUGUUAAAUGCUGUUUUGAUUUUAACGAUGAAGAAGAAGAAGUAAUUAAUACCACAGUUCAAGUUGGCAGAAAAAUACCGAGAGUCAUACCUCCAACAGAAAAACGAAAAUCGGAGAUUCUUGACGAUAUCAUUGAUUUAGAAGAAGGUUUUAAUAAAGAGGAAAUCUUGAAAGUAAGCCAGAGUUUCAACGAAAAACAUGCUGAAAAUAACGAACUUGAGAGUGCGUUUAAAGAUUUGAUGGAUGAAGUUUCCGUCCCUAAAAUAUCUGAGUUAGAAAACAGCCUCAAACCGACCCAAAAUUUUCACUCUGUCAAGACUAUAAAAUUUCCGGAUAAGCAAGAUGGUCCACCCAAAAAAGAUCGCGAUAAAAACCGCCCAGAUGUUCACACAGAACCGAUUAAUCCCAAGAAACGAUUUGUUAAAAAUUUUGAGGAGUUCGAGAACCAACUUCAAAGAGAGAAAGUGAAAAGCAAGAAGCAGCAAGCUUUAAAAAAGAAGAGUAGAAAAGAGAUCUUAUUGCAGGGUAACAACGAUGACAGCUCAGAUAAGACUUCAGAUGACGAUUGUAAAGAUUUACCAACGAAAAUCAUGUCGUCAAUUCUUGAUGAAGCCAAGAUUAGCGAGGAAUCCAAAGAAAAAAUUAUGUCUAAACUCAACAAAAGUACACGUGGUAGAAAUGUAGAUUCUUGUUCAACAGAUUCAAAUGCUGAAGUGCCCUCACCUAGUGAGAAGGCAGACUCAAAGGGCAAACAGAAAAAAUUUGAUAAGAAUGUUUCAACCUCAGAAGUCGUUGACAUAAACACUUCUCAUAAAAACCAAGGUCGUAUUAGAAAGUUUUUUCGUAAAAGCACAGAAUUAAAUACUGUUGAUAUGUCAAAAUCUCAGCAGCAGGAACCUACUGUUACUGAUGUCCGAUGUACAAACAAAACAGAAGAAUCAUUGAUUGAUGAUACAAAUCUAAAGCAACAAGAAAUUGGUACUUCUACUUUGUUAGCAACAACUGUAAGUGUUUAUACAAAUAAAAUGGCCUUUAAGAAGAGAAGUUUGCGUUCAUCUUCAGAAUUCAGUAUUUUAGAUAAAUCUCAUCAUAUAGAACCAGUUUUAUCACCUGAAAUUGUUUACUCCAGCGAAAAAGAUGAUAAAAAACGCAAAAAACAUGACAAACGUAAAAAAAUUCAGCCUGAAAGUAUGGCUGGUGUUGAUGACUCCGGUGAACAAAAGGAAAAAGAAGUUGUUAAAGAUUUAAGUCACACAGGUGCAACACGUAGACAGCAUUAUUCGUUAUCGGAAAUAAAUGUUGAAACAUCGAAUGAUCAAAAGGAAGCAUUAAUUAAUGUCCAUGACAAGCAAGACCAAGAAAAAGCCAUAAGUAAAACCCGUAAGAGUCUGAGAAAAUAUUCAACAGAAAAACAGCUUCAAAAUGAGACUGUACAUUUAGACAACGUGGUAACUGGUGAUAUAACUCAAGAAAAACCAUCUACUGUGACCAACGAACCGUUAGGUGUUAAUAAUGCUGAAAACAAAGUGGUUUUUUCUCAAGACUUUUAUAUCAGAGACAAUAGCAAGAAAGAAACACUUCCAAGAAAAAAACGCAAAUUUGUAACAGAUUCCUUUUCAGAAGCCAGUGUUGAUCAAUUAAAUGUGCAUUCAGGCGUCGUUGCUCAUCAAGAAAGGGUCAUUGACACUCUUCUUGAGGAAACAUUACCACUUAAGAGACGUAGGAGCUUGCGGGUCUCAUCAUCAGAAGCCACUACGAAGGACACUGCAAUUAUACACCAAGGUAAAGAAGAACUAAAUACCACUAUAGCACCUACUAAUGCAAGUAACGAUGAUUCGACUGAAAAAAAUCAAAAGGGAAAAGAUUCUUCUGACAAGACUAGAUGGUCGAAACGAAUAAGCCAUCCAAAGAAACGUACAAGAUCUUUUCCGGAUAAUUUUGAUCUAGUAGAAACCAAACCAGCGGUUAAUGAAAAUAUAACAGUAACAGACGAUUCUCAAAAUUUAGAAGGAAAAGAAUCUGUAAUUGUUUCAAUAGAUCAUGAACAAAAUGAACGUCCAUCAGAAUUGGGCGAUACAGAAAAUAAAAAAGAGACGGUAGACUUUACCGAAAACACAGGCGCAGAAACGCAUGAAGAACUAAAUGAUUCGAAAACACAGAUAAGUGAUUGCGUUCCACAUGAAUCUGCAACUAAAACCGUAGAAAGCGAAUCUGAAAGGGAACCCGUACAAAUUCGUGUAGAGGAAGAAGAUGCUGUUUACUUGACGGACAACAAAGAGCCAAAAUUAAUUACAGAAAAUGCUGCUCUUUUAGACAGCAACUCCCCGAAACUACAGGAAGAUGUAGCACUUCAAAGUUCAUCAGAAAUCCUUGUUAAUGAUCAUAAAUCCGAAGAAAAUGAACAGGAACCAGUUCAGCAAUGUACGGGUGACGAAAAGAAUGUGGUUCGAGAAGUUUGUAUUUCUGAAAGUGAAAAUAUUUCUGUGAUUAAUCGCAUUACGGAUGGACAAGACCAUCCUAUCCCAUCUGACAAUCUAAAUGUCGAUGUAGAUACUAAUGACAGAUUAUCUAAGAAACAAAGAAGGAAUAAAAGAAAAUCUUCCAAACACAAACAUAAGAAAAAGGGGAAAACAAGCAAAGAAUAUUACAGAAAUGUUGAACUUCGAAAUGAUAGUGAUAUAGAAAGUAGUAACAUUGAAGUUAACCCUUCGAAAACGCCAAUUGGUGAUAGUGUAGUUGAGGAAGUUUCUAAUUUUUCACAAAGUGCUCAAAGUGAAGCUGAAAUUGUCAAUAAGGAAGAUGCAACCAUAAAAGAAGUGAUAAUCGAAAAGAAAACUGUUGAUCUAACAGAAGAAAUAGAUUACAUUCCUGAACAUGAACCUGUUACAGAUGAGAAUUAUAUUAGCAUGACUGAAUCUAAAGAAAUAACAUCUACCAAGCAAUCAACAGAAAACCAAUUUAGCGAAAUAAAAGAAACUAAUGAAUUGAUUGUAACUGACGAAGCAAACGAUUCAUGUGUUGAUAAAGAAAAACCAUUACAUGACGAAACACAAGAGUCAACAGAAUUUGUUGAUCAAACCGAAAGAGACUCAGCUAAAGUUCAAGAAUCAACUGAACCAGAAAUAUAUCUAACUCAUGAUGAGCAACCCCCAAAAGAACUAAUAAAAACACAGAAAUCUUCCAUCUUAGGGGUUAUUUCUAGUGAUGAAGAAGAACUUAUUAAGAAGUAUUUAACUCCGGAGGAACCAUCUGAAGAGCAUACUCUGGAAAAACCAGUAGUGACUCAGGAAGUAACAGUAGACAACUUUUGUGGUAGUACAGAAGAUAGAUUCGAUUUAUCUCCAGAGGUUUCAUUCAAGAAGCAAACUCUGGAAGAACCUGUAGUUACGCAGGAAGCAACAGUACCAGAGGACCUCUCUGUUAGUAAAAAAGAAGAAGUCGAAGUGACUCAGGAAGCAACAAUACCAGAGGACCUUUCUGUUAGUAAAGAAGAAGAAUUCAAUUUUAGUCCGGAGGUACAAGAGCAAACUGUGGAAGAACCCAUAAUAACUCAGGAAGCAACAGUACCGGAGGACCUCUCUGUUAGUAAAGAAAACGAAUUUAAUACAUCUCCGGAAGUACAAUUACAGGAGCAAACUCUGGAGGAACUAGUAGUGACUCAGGAAGAAACAAUACCAGAAGACCUUUCUGUUAGUAAAGAAGAAGAAUACAAUUUAACUCCGGAGGUACCAAUAAAGGAACAAACUCUGGAAGAACCCGUAGUAAUUCAGGAAGAAACAAUACUAGAGGACCUUUGUAUUACUAAAGAAGAAGUCAAUUUAACCCCAAGUGAAUUGUCAGAAGAGCAAGUUAAUGAAGGAGAACCUUCUGUAACUCAAGAAGUAACACCUUUAGAAACACUUUCUAGAGAAGAACAUGUAGUGACCAAGGAGGAAGAAUUAUUAGAUAAUAUUCCUGUUAGUAACGAAGACGAAUUCAAUUUUACUGUAGAAGUACAAUCAGAAAAGCAACUUAAAGAUGAAGAAGACGUUCUAAGUCAGGAAGUAACAACAUUAGAGCAACCUGCUAUUAGUAAUGAACAAUUUGAUGUAGUUUCUGAGGCAGAGUCGGAAGAGCUACCUCAUGAAGAACCUGUAGUAAUUGAAGAAACACCAAUGCACCUUCAGACAGAAGAAUAUAACAUUACUACGGAAAAACCAGUAAAGCCAUGUCCUACUAAUGAAGACUUUUAUUUACCGUUGGAUAGAAAGGUAGAAGAGCAACCUCAACAAGAAGAACCUAUAGUAACUCAGGAGGAACCAAUAUCGGAAGAACCUUUUUCAACUAAUGAGGAAAUUAUAUUAACUGAAGAAGAAUCAAUAAAAGAACCUGUGCUCGUAAUUCAUGAUGCACAACAAGAGGAACCUGUAGAUAGUAGUGAAGAACUAACUUUACAAUUAGAGAAGGAACCUUCAGAAGGAGUAGCAGCAGACAUUGAGGACACAUUAGUUGAAAAAGAUUUUGAACACGACGUGGAAGGAAUAAAUCGAUCUCCGCAGCAACCUGAGUUUCUUAUUGAAGAACAAUCUCCAGAGGUUAGGGAAACCUUGAUAAUUGAGGAACCUGUUGAUUCAAAUGAACAAGCAUUAGACCUUACCCAAGACUUACACUCAGAAAAGCAAGUACCUUUUGCUUUUGAUGAAAAAGAAUCAAAAUUCGAUCAAAACGAAACAUCAGCUGCAGAAGCAUUUGCUCCUAAAGAGGAAAAUAUAAUGGUUAAUGAAGAAGCAGAGUUUAUGAAGCAACCACAUGUUCUCAUGGACGAACAAAAAUCUACAGUUACUCAGCAAAUAGAAAACCUGGAGACUCCAUUUGCUACUAAAGCGGAUGCAACUGAGAUUCUUCAACCUGUAGAGGAACCACAGCUGAUUGAAGAGGUAGUAGAGGAAAUGUGUGAUACUCCUGAAGAGAAAUUGACAGUUAUCCAUAAAAACAAAUCGAUUGAGGAACAUGUUGAAGUACCUGCAAAACUGCCUACAGAAAUACAACCAACAGAAUUAGAACUACAUUCUAUCAAUAAGACAGAAACUACAGUUAUUAAGAAAUUAAAAUCAAGAUUUUAUGAAAUUACAGGAUUAAAUGUUCAUCAGGAGCCUCAACUUAACCAAUCCGGAACUGAUAAUUCCGGAGUUACUAAUGCAGCACAUUUGAGUGUAAUUCAAAAAGCAUCUGACAUAGUCGAUGAUGAAAAAUUAGAUGCUAUCCAGGGAACACAAGCAAACAACGAAGUGACUGUUAUACAGGAGUUAAUACAAGAACCACAGUUGGAUGUAAUUGAAGAGUGUGUAGUCCAUGAAGAUAUUCAGAGUUCAGUAUUAAGUGAGCCAGCGGAUGAAGUACCUGGAAGUUCAACUCCUACUGACGAGUAUGCAGUACUUAAAUCAGCUACUUCCAAAGAACAAUUAACGAAUGAGAAGCUUUUAGACACUAAUGAAGAAGGUAACCAGUAUAGAACCAAAUUAUCUGCAAUCGAAGAAUGUCUGGAAAAGCCCAUUGCCCAUCAAGAAUUUGGGGUAACUUCUCGACGAGAAAUUGUGUUUCAUGAGACACCCAAGCAGUCAAACAGCUCUGACGACAGUGAAGAUUUAACAGUUAAAAAAAUAAUUGAUUCCUCUGUUAAAGACCAAGAUAAACUCUCUAAAAAACUACCAGAUUCAAUAUUUAAAGUGCCGGCAAGUUGUGUGAGCAAAUCUGAGGUCCGUUACAAAAAGAAUACUUUUGAACACAGACCAGAACUAAAAAAAGGUAUGCAUUUUACCGACUUAGAUGAAGUAGACGAAAACAUAACCGAUUUGGUUAGUGAUAUUGUUAAAAAAUUAAAUCAAGACGGUAGUGAUAAAAAUCAAGAGGACUUAGAUAUUGAAUUAGAAGAGGAAAUUAUUGAUAUUUCUGCAAAAUCCCGCAGCCCCAAAGUUGAUCUGAGUAAAGUUUUACAAAAUGAUAUGCAUACGGCUUCUUUCGAAGAUGAUCCUUGUCGAAUUAAAAAUUAUAUUGAACCUUCAUACAGCGAAAGUAUAACUGGUUUGGAGAAGAGUGGAGAAAAUUCUCAAAGCCCUAUUGAAAAUAAAACCGAGAAUACUCAAAGAAUGGAGGAAUACUCCAAAGAACUUGAAAUUCACUGUGCCAAUUCAAAUGACUCUUUUAAAUUCUGUAUACAGACCAAUCUUUCAAAUUUAUCGAGGAGUGAAGAAAUUUCAGCUAUAGCAUUAGCAACAAUGUCCGAACUGAAGUGUGAUUCAGAACCAGCUACUAUCAAUAACAACGUACCCGCGGAUGAUUUACCAAAACCAGACUUGUUUUCUGAAAAAUUAUCUGAGACAGAAAUGGCUGCCAUAGAAGGAAAUUUAACAGUUAUGUCUGAAAAAGAUUUAGGAGAUGCACAAGUAGAAAUUACCUCCGAAAAAGUGAUAAGUCCUAAAAAACCAGUUACUCUGUCAAGUUUCUCAAUGGACUUUUCAGAAUCGAUCAGUGAGAAUGACAAAAGCCUGGAAAAAAAUUCGAAAGGUACCGAAUUUACUUCAAGAGCCAUAACAAAAGAACUAAAACCAAGAGCUAAUGUCAAAAAAAUAAAUGCGUAUAAUCAAGGUGAGUUGCUUGAUAUAUUAGAAGGGAAUGAUCCAAGCAAGAAAGCUCCAGAAUUGCAAUCCCAGCCUAAAAUUGUUGAAGAUGUCGAAUGUGAUUUUGACGAGAUUAUUUCCAAAAAUUUAAUUUCAAAAGAUGGUGUAAAAUCUGUCGAUGAAGAGUCUAAAAGUUCCCCUUUUAGUUCCAAGUUGUUUGAUAGACUUUUAGAUGGAAAAAGCGAUUCUGCUGGACAGGAACCAGCUACCGAAACUCUUCCAAAGCAAAAAUCAAAGGCCAAGCCAGUCAUCUUGUCCGAAAAAAUUAUCAAAGCUGCACCCGAAAAUAAAAAAGUUAUACCAUCUUCCGAUAGUAUCGUCAAUGACGAUGACGAUCUAAAGACAUUUGUCAUACAGAAUAUUAAAAAGCACAUCGAGGAGGACGAUCCAGUUCCGGCGUCAAAACCUAUCCGAAAAUCAAGAGCAAAACCUUCUUGUAAGGCAAAAAUUUUACAGCAAACUAUCAUAACACCAUCUGGAGAAGUUCUUCAGCCAACUGGGUGUCUACCAAAAAAGAAAACAAUUCUCAUCAGUCCGACGACCUCUACAGUUGCUGCAAGGGUUUCCGUCGAGGGUGGACCAUCGCAGACGGCCAAAAAAGCACAGAUUAUAACUGGUGGCACGAGGCCAACCAUCACCACACCUUCCACAAGUCAAGAUGAUAAUGUUUUUGACAUCUAUAAUAUGCCGAUUGUAUUAUCAGACCAAAUAUUGACACCGGAAAGUAUUGAAAGUAUGCCUAUUGUAAUUGAUAAUAACGCAUCAACUAAUGCACGUACCCAACCAAGUACAUUACAACCAACGUCUACAUCAACGAAAUUAGCAAUUACUAAACCUGCUACAUAUACCCGUACCGCCGUCCCAACUAAGACAAUAGCGCAGCCCCAAAAAACCAUAACCAAGCCUAGGAUUCUACAGGCUGCUCCAGUUAAACAGCCGAUAACGCCAGGAAAGGUUCUUGCGCCGGGAGUUUUACCUCGCGGUGCAAAACCCGGUACUUACUUUUUUCUUAGCCAGGGUGCGCCUGGUUCAUCACAACAAAAGGUGAUUACGAAGAAGACAAUUGUGAAAAGAAAUGUUCCGAUUGCCAAUAUUGCUUCUAAGUUCCCAGAAGGAACUGGAAAUAAAGUUAUGAUCGUUACUGAUCAACAAGGACAGCAACAAAGGGUACUAUUCAACCCAAAUAACCAACGACUGUUAAGCUACUCAACUUUAUCAGGAUCUAAAAUUGUGAAGAAUGUAUUAAAGAGUAAUUUAAUACAGAAAAAUGUUUCAUCUGUAAUAAAAAAUGAAGUGGGUCCGACAAAGUCGCCGACUCAGAUUGUCCAGAAGGUUUUACCUACAAGUAAUCAAAUGAUAUCCGUACCUUCAACUUCUCGGACUGUUAAAACUGUUGUAAGAAAGGUUUCGCCAUCAACAUCUAAACUGCCUACUACUGUCAAAAACUCUAAAACUAUAUUAUUAACUGGGAAAAAUGGACAGACAAUAAAGAAGAUAGCAGUCGCCGAAGAUGAUAUUGACAAACAGGUAGCUGAACAAUUGGAAGCAAUCAAAGCUAGCAGUGGUCUCCAAUUUGGUUCUCAAACUAGAUCAGAUGCACCAAGUACAUCAAAACAACCAAUACAAAAACCUGCGAUACGAAGGUCUUACGCCAAGAAAGAUUUCAAACCCAAACCUCCAGUGGUGACUACUAUAAGUGAGGCACUGUCAUCUGCUCCACCUCCUCUUAUAGUUUCAAAGAAACAGACUGUUUCGGCUCCAGAACCGAAAAAGGCUGUACAGGUUCAAGAAGAGCCUCCAGUUCAAGUGGAACGUCCAUUGCAGCAAAUGCUCCUUGAACAACCGGACGGCACGUUACGAACCAUCACCGAGGGGGAAAUAUACGGUUUUCCAAGUGAAAGUAUCAGCGGUGAACCAAAUAGCUUUGUUUUCAUGACUUUGGACUCGACUGGUAAUUUAGUGCCUGUGAGCAAUGAGGUUCUUAGGAAGUUAAGUCCCAAUCUAGCUAUAGACGGAGAUACGAAUAACUAUGUACUACAAAUAGACAACGGAGAAAGCAACCAACCAGUAACACUGAGUCAGGCUGCCGUUGGAAAAAAUUCUAAUCCGAUUGAAGAAUUAUCAACUGGUACUCCUAAAGUGGAUAACGCCAAGAUAGAGCUUCCCUUGACCCUUCCCAUAACCAUUGGACAACCACAGCAGCAAUCGUUAUCACUUCCCAUAACAAUUGAACAUCAGCGACCACAGCAGCAAUCGUUGUCAAUUCCUUUAACAAUUGAACAUCAGCGACCGCAGCAGCAAUCAUUACAUGUACUACAACCACAGCAAUCUCAACAAGAGCAACAUAUAACCUCCUUACCAGAUACUCCAGUAAUGAAUGUGGAAGUUGCCAGUUCGAAUGGAGAUCAACCUCAACAUAUAUUGGUAUCAGGGGAUGAUUUAGCGACACAAAAGUUUUUGGAGACCCUCAGCGGAAAUAAACUAGAUUUAGCUACUCUAAUUGCAAACGCCGAGGGAAAGAGUAUUGUGAUACAAACUGUUAACCAGGAAAUUAUAAUUAAUACGAGUACAGACCAUCCGAUGUUGUCAAAUGUAACGGAAAAUACAGAAAGUGGAAGAAAUCCCAUAUUUGCAACGCAUUCCAAUAAAACGGACAUAUUAGCCGCAGCUUUGGCAGAUACAGAUGUUUUUUCAACGCAGCCAAGCAGAGGUGCACAACUAAGUCCUAACAAUGCCCUUUAUCCAAUAAACGUCGGUAACGUUUUGGAAACAAGUCUUACCUUAAGUUCCCCUAUAAUGACACCUUUAGAAGUACCAAGUACGAAUAACAAAAAGAUUUCUGAAGACGAAGCUGAUAUUUUGACGCAAGUACCGAAAAACGUAGACCUUCCGAUUACGAUAACAGAUCCCAAUAUUUCUCAAACAGUGGCCAAUCAACAGGUAGCAUUAAUGGGUAAUGAAUUUCAGUCCAAUUUGGAACUAGGUUUAUCCAUAGCAGAAACAACAAUUUCGUCAGUAACGACCGGGUUAACUAGUCCCAGCUACAGUUAUUCUUUGCCAUCUUUAGACGAAAAUGACAUUUCUCACAAACCCUUCAACAGUAGCAUGCCUCUGCUGAACGAUGACGCAGAAGACACGAAUCUCUCUCACAAAAAGUCAAACAAACACGUCGACAAAAGUGAUCUUAACUCUGACGAUUAUUUAGAACAAAGUCGCUAUACUCUUGGAGGCACAAUGUGCGAUUCCUUAAGUGAACCUCCUCCAGAGAUGUUCGAAAUGCCCGAAGUCAACUCGUAUAACGAGAGAAACGGCAGCAACAUUCCCCUGUAUCUUCAGAGCACCCCGGAUCCCAAAGAUGACGAUGGAACGGACGCGUCGAUUCAGGCAGAGAGUUCUAGCGAAGGGUCUUGCGAGAUUCCUCUGCAGCCGAAAAUUGUUGCCAAGUCUGUGGAUUUGUCGGAAGAGUCCGAUUUGUAAUUGUAAAGUUCUAAUAUUAGAAAGAGCAGGUUCCUAAUUUCUGUGGGUAAUUUAUCAAGUGAUUGUAGACCUUAAUAGAUUUUUGUUCGAAAGGUAUAGAGGGUGUCCAGAAACUCUACCGACAAACGAAAAUAGGAGAUUCCUCCGAUUAUUUUUUAAUGAUUUUAACUUCCAAUCGUAUAGUAAGAUAUUUGAUCACGUGUUUAAUUCUGUCCAAUCAGAUUAAAAUUAUACUGAGAAUUAUCUACUGUAGAAAAUUACUGAUAAAAUUUUUUAAGUAGAUUGUUUCUGUUUAAUGGCAACCAGUUUCCUAGUUUUGACAACUGCCACAUUUAAGAAAAUAUCCAUAUUAUACGUAUUAAAAAAUAAUCUUAUGAAUAUCACACGACAGUAAGAAUAAAUAAGAAAAUAUUGCUUCAUUUUUACUCAAAUUUGUUGUCAUUGGGCAAUAGCCACUCGAGCCCUGCGGGCUCUCGUGUCUAUUGCCAGACAACAAAUUUUCGAAAAACUGUCGCAUUAUUUUCAAUUUAUUCUCACUCUCUUGUGCUAUUAUACCCGAUAAUUUUAAGAUAAUUUAACCCAAUUCACUUAGUCCGAAAAUGCUUCCUAAGGGAGCUAGAGCACUUUGAAGAUGGCGUCUUGUAAUUAGUUUUUCUUAAAUACCCUCAGAACGCUUCUAUUUAGAAAAACGAAAAUUGGUACACAUAUUUAUCAUCCAGAGAUAAAUCGAUUCCAUUUAUUAUGGAUUUCUAGUACCGGUCAUAGACGCCCCUUUUGGGUAGGGCAACGGUUAUUUUAUUCCAUAACUUUUUUAUAUUUAAUUUUUAAGCAUUUUUGACUAUGGAUUAUUAAAUUGUGAGGUAUUCUAGUACUAAAAGGUACUCUUGCUUUAAGUC
rnacentral:misc_RNA from 1 species